CAACAUUAGAAAGGAAGGUGGUCCGAUGUCUCAUUGUCACAUGCCGCGGGCGGCAACGAAUGCGGGCACGGCCUCCGUUGCGGAGGUCAGGCUCGGCUGAGCCGGCUGCGUGCAGUCCACGACAAUGGAAGGGCCGUUCCCGAAAAGGGAGCGGCCC
rnacentral:sRNA from 1 species